rnacentral:rRNA from 1 species
GCGAGCAUACCACGUUGGAAACACCGGUUCUGGUCUGAUCAUCAAGGUUGAGCAACGUUGGGCCCGGUGAGUACUUCCAUUGGUGACCAGUUGGGAAAACCGGGAGUUUCGGCC